UAAAGUUGUUGCGGUUAAAAAGCUCGUAGUUGAAUUUCGGGAUCAGUGGGUCGGUCGUGCCACUGGUAUGUACUGGCCCUACUGGUUCCUCCUUCUUGAGGAACUGUGAUGCCAUUAAUUUGGUGUUGCAGGGAAACAGGACUGUUACUUUGAAAAAAUUAGAGUGUUUAAAGCAGGCAAUCGCUUGAAUACAUUAGCAUGGAAUAAUGAAAUAGGACGUUCGACCCUAUUUUGUUGGUUUCUAGGAUUGACGUAAUGAUUAAUAGGG
rnacentral:rRNA from 1 species